GACGAACGCUGGCGGCGUGCUUAACACAUGCAAGUCGAACGGAAAGGCCCUGCUUUUGUGGGAUGCUCGAGUGGCGAACGGGGGAGUAACACGUGAGUAACCUGCCCUUGACUUUGGGAUAACUUCAGGAAACUGGGGCUAAUACCGGAUAGGAGCUCCUGCUGCAUGGGGGUGGUUGGAAAGUUUCGGCGGUUGGGGAUGGACUCGCGGCUUAUCAGCUUGUUGGUGGGGUAGUGGCUUACCAAGGCUUUGACGGGUAGCCGGCCUGAGAGGGUGACCGGCCACAUUGGGACUGAGAUACGGCCCAGACUCCUACGGGAGGCAGCAGUCGGGAAUAUUGCACAAUGGGCGGAAGCCUGAUGCAGCGACGCCGCGUGCGGGAUGACGGCCUUCGGGUUGUAAACCGCUUUCGCCUGUGACGAAGCGUGAGUGACGGUAAUGGGUAAAGAAGCACCGGCUAACUACGUG
rnacentral:rRNA from 1 species